rnacentral:rRNA from 1 species
GACGAACGCUGGCGGCGUGCUUAACACAUGCAAGUCGAACGGAAAGGCCCUGCUUUUGUGGGGUGCGCGAGUGGCGAACGGGUGAGUAACACGUGAGUAACCUGCCCUUGACUUUGGGAUAACUUCAGGAAACUGGGGCUAAUACCGGAUAGGAGCUCCUGCUGCAUGGUGGGGGUUGGAAAGUUUCGGCGGUUGGGGAUGGACUCGCGGCUUAUCAGCUUGUUGGUGGGGUAGUGGCUUACCAAGGCUUUGACGGGUAGCCGGCCUGAGAGGGUGACCGGCCACAUUGGGACUGAGAUACGGCCCAGACUCCUACGGGAGGCAACAGUGGGGAAUAUUGCACAAUGGGCGGAAGCCUGAUGCAGCAACGCCGCGUGCGGGAUGACGGCCUUCGGGUUGUAAACCGCUUUCGCCUGUGACGAAGCGUGAGUGACGGUAAUGGGUAAAGAAGCACCGGCUAACUACGUG